GCGACCGUGGCGGAAUUGGUAGACGCACUACCUUGAGGUGGUAGCGCCGUGAGGCGUGGAAGUUCGAGUCUUCUCGGUCGCACCA
rnacentral:tRNA from 1 species